rnacentral:rRNA from 1 species
UACGUAGGGAGCUAGCGUUGUCCGGAAUCAUUGGGCGUAAAGCGCGCGUAGGCGGCCCGGUAAGUCCGCUGUGAAAGUCAAAGGCUCAACCUUUGAAUGUCAGCGGAUACUGUCGGGCUAGAGUCCGGAAGAGGCGAGUGGAACUCCUGGUGUAGCGGUGGAAUGCGCAGAUAUCAGGAAGAACACCAACGGCGAAGGCAGCUCGCUGGGACGGUACUGACGCUAAGGCGCGAAAGCGUGGGGAGCGAACAGG